GCCCUUAAAUGUAGACAUGGACUCAUGAAAGUUCCUGGUUGAAUGUUACCAACGUUCCCAGUUAACGUUUAAAAACCUGUGUUAUAUAUAUUUUCCACAAAUAUUAUAUUGCAUGGCUAAUAAUUUUUUUUGGCGGAAGUACGAGACUUCUGGUCACAGGAAAAGCUUGACCGGCAACAAUAGUUGUUUAUAAAGUAUGUACUGUAAUAUUUAGAACCAUAAUUCUGGCAUAAAUUAAAUAAACAUGAACGCACAUGGUUGACGUAGUUGUUUUUUUUUGUUUGUUUGGUUGAAUUAGUAUUUUAUUUGAAUUUGUUUACCCACUUAUUAGAUAAUUAGGAUGGAAGAGAUGUGACUACAGUUUAAUAUUAGUUUAUUUUUAAUGCGUUAAGAUCCUUCAGCUCGCCCUUUUAUACGGUGGUGCAGUCAAGGUCAUCAGCGGCCAGCUGGAAAGUGUCAGUGUCAACAACGAGCGACAUACAUUAUACUAUAGUGGCCCAGAACUCAGCCACACCGACCGCGUCACACAGCCGCCAUUAAAUCCUCAAGCGUGCAGGUGUUAGGGAACGCAGGGCAU